AAAAUCUAAUGGGAGAUAGGUACAAUGCCCCCUGGUGCAUGACACAUCAUGUUUUAAGUUAAAGUCUUGAGAAAUCUCUAUAUGAGCCGGAUAUUUUGGACUAAGGGAGUCACUGGUGACAAGCCCAUCCUAUGUGAAUUGUUUAUGAUGUGAAAACCCAUUUGAAUGUUGCAUUGCACAUGCAUGAAAUGAACGAUAAAUUUAAAGUAUGUUAAUUAGUUUACUCAAUGAGUUCGUAUAAGCUCACCCCUUUUCCCUAAACCCAAAUGUAGAAAUGCCGAAGUAGAAGAAUCCUUUGAAGCUUAAGCAACAGGAGUAGCUGUAGGGUAUUUAUAUGCAUGUGGAAUGAUUAGAU
rnacentral:misc_RNA from 1 species